GCCGAUGUAGCUCAAUGGCAGAGCAACACUUUUGUAAAGUGAAGGUUGUCGGUUCAAGUCCGACCAUCGGCUCCA
rnacentral:tRNA from 1 species